rnacentral:rRNA from 1 species
AACGAACGCUGGCGGCGUGCUUAACACAUGCAAGUCGAACGCGAAAGGGACUUCGGUCCUGAGUAAAGUGGCGCACGGGUGAGUAACGCGUAGAUAACCUGUCUUCAUGUCUGGAAUAAUACGCCGAAAGGGGUACUAAUACCGGAUAUUCUUGCUUUUCAUAAGUUAUGCAAGCAGAGGUGGCCUCUGCAUAUGCUACUGCAUGAAGAGGGGUCUGCGUACCAUUAGCUAGUAGGUGGGGUAAUGGCCUACCUAGGCGACGAUGGUUAGCGGGUCUGAGAGGAUGAUCCGCCACACUGGCACUGGAACACGGGCCAGACUCCUACGGGAGGCAGCAGUGAGGAAUAUUGCGCAAUGGGGGAAACCCUGACGCAGCGACGCCGCGUGAGUGAAGGAAGGCCUUCGGGUCGUAAAGCUCUGUCAAGAGGAAAGAAGUGUACAAUGGCUAAUACCUGUUGUAUUUGACGGUACCUCUAAAGGAAGCACCGGCUAACUCCGUGCCAGCAGCCGC